UAAUGACUCUCGGCAACGGAUAUCUAGGCUCUUGCAUCGAUGAAGAACGUAGCGAAAUGCGAUACUUGGUGUGAAUUGCAGAAUCCCGUGAACCAUCGAGUCUUUGAACGCAAGUUGCGCCCGAAGCCAUUAGGUUGAGGGCACGUCUGCCUGGGCGUCACAU
rnacentral:rRNA from 14 species